UUUCCGUUUCAUAGACAAAAAUGGCAAAAUAAUCAUUUCCAGAAGUGCCAAUUUCCUAGAGCAUGAGAACUGGGACAGAUUACAUUCUAACAAGGAAGUUUUUCUACAGCCAAUGCAGCAAGAAAGGGCAGAAGAGGGUGAUUGUUUUCAGAGCUCAGUUCCUUCUCCCUCAGUGUCUCAGCUUAAACUGAAACAUGAUACCUCACAGAGCAAAGAGGAAGGCGUGACUAGUCAUUGAAGCCAGUCAGGGCAGACUGUCAUUUCUCAACACGCUGUACCUAAGAGUGAGAAGCAAGACUUUCCAGUCAGAGAAGGGGGGCGAAUUUUGCCCACAGCUCAAGCUGAAAACCAAGAUGGCGAUUUUUCUGAAGUUGAGCAAACUUCACAGAGAAUCUCUACGAGAUCUACAAAAGGAAUUCCACCAGAUAGAUAUGAAUUUACUCAGUUAGCUGAAGAAUUAACAAAUAAUAUUCCAAAUUCCUACCAGGAAGUUCUGCAAUUACCUCAAAGUCAACAAAAAAAAAACUUUGGAUUGCUGCAAUGAAUAGACAAUUUUCUGUACUUCAGAGCCAGAAAGUAUUUACUGAGGCUACCUUACCUCACAAUGAGAGGGCAAUUACAGCCAAAUGGAUUUUUAGAAAGAAACUUUCUCCUGAGGGAAAAUUNAUUUUUAAAGCGAGAUUGGUAGCGCAAGGAUUUAAGCAACCUUUAAAUGAAGAUGAAAUGAAUUACUCACCAACUGCAAGAUCUCAGAGCCUUGUUACUUUACUUACAGUAGCUGCCAAGAACAAUUUUGUUUGUAAACAUUUUGAUUUUGAAUGUGCAUAUCUGAAUGCCAAGCUUGAUGAGCAAAUCUUUUUGAACCCUCCACCAGGUUUUGAAAAGCAAAAUAAAAACACUGUUUAUCGUCUCCACAAAGCCCUGUACGGACUUCGAUGCUCCGCNCGCCAGUGGAACUUAUGUUUACAUGAAGUUUUAACAAAAAUGAAUUUUAAGCGUUCUGCUGCUGAUGCUUGUGUGUACACAAGGGGAAAACAUGACAAAAAGAUUUUUAUUUGUCUGUAUGAAGAUGAUUUGAUUUUCUCUGCCAAAACAACUUCUAUAAUUGAUCAGAUUUCAUCAGAAUUGUCCAAAACAUUUGUUCUUAAAGACCUGGGACAACUGAAAAGUUAUCUAGGUAUUGAAAUUGAAACAGUGAAAGACAAAGGCUUUCUGUUAAGCCAAACAAGCAAAAUUAAAGAACUUUUACAAAGAGCUAGACUCUCAGAUGCAAAAGGAGCCAAAACCCCAAUGUGUUUAGAUUUUUGCAAACCAAAAGACUCUCCUGAUUUUUCAAAUCCAACUUUUUACAGAUCUGUAAUUGGAAGUCUUUUACACAUUACCAAUUUUACCCGUCCUGAUAUAGCAUUUGCUGUUAAUGUUUUAGCAAGGGCUAGUUCUAANCCAACAGUUGCCCAUUGGGAAGCAACAAAAAGAAUUUUGAGAUAUUUAAAAGAUACUGCUGAACACAAAUUUGCUAUUUUUCCUAAUGAUGAAAANAACAUUAUUGCUUACUGUGACAGUUCUUUUGCAGAUGAAGAAGACAGAAAAUCUUGUACUGGUUUUGUUAUUAAAUAUGCAAAUGUACCUUUGUUAUGGUGUUC
rnacentral:lncRNA from 1 species